UACAGGGGGUGCUAGCGUUGUUCGGAAUUACUGGGCGUAAAGGGCGCGUAGGCGGCCUUGUAAGUCAGGAGUGAAAUCCCGGAGCUUAACUUCGGAAUUGCUUUUGAAACUACAAGGCUAGAGUGAGUUAGAGGAUGGCGGAAUUCCUAGUGUAGUGGUGAAAUACGUAGAUAUUAGGAAGAACACCGGUGGCGAAGGCGGCCAUCUGGGACUCAACUGACGCUGAGGCGCGAAAGCGUGGGGAUCAAACAGG
rnacentral:rRNA from 1 species